rnacentral:rRNA from 1 species
CCUACGGGGGGCAGCAGUGAGGAAUAUUGGUCAAUGGACGAGAGUCUGAACCAGCCAAGUAGCGUGAAGGAUGACUGCCCUAUGGGUUGUAAACUUCUUUUAUAUGGGAAUAAAAUGUUCCACGUGUGGGAUUUUGUAUGUACCAUAUGAAUAAGGAUCGGCUAACUCCGUGCCAGCAGCCGCGGUAAUACGGAGGAUCCGAGCGUUAUCCGGAUUUAUUGGGUUUAAAGGGAGCGUAGGUGGAUUGUUAAGUCAGUUGUGAAAGUUUGCGGCUCAACCGUAAAAUUGCAGUUGAAACUGGCAGUCUUGAGUACAGUAGAGGUGGGCGGAAUUCGUGGUGUAGCGGUGAAAUGCUUAGAUAUCACGAAGAACUCCGAUUGCGAAGGCAGUUCACUGGACUGCAACUGACACUGAGGCUCGAAAGUGUGGGUAUCAAACAGGAUUAGAGACCCCUGUAGUC